CCCUCAUCAUUAAACAAAACACAUGUAUAAAGAUGUGAGAAAGAAAGAAAGAAAGAGAAUAGCGUUACCUUAGAUUAGGUAGAGAGAAGUGAUGGGAGGGGAGGGGUUGGGAGGAUAGGAAGGAUAGUAGAAUGAAACAGACAUUACUAUUACUGUGUGUAUAUAUGUGACUGCAUGACCAAUGUGAUUCUGCAACCUGUACACUCAGAAAAAUGAGAAAUUAUAUCCCAUCUGAUUCAAAUGUAUGAUAUGUCAAGGUCAUCGUACUGUCAUGUGUAACUAAUUAAAACAAAAUAAAAAUAAAAUAUAUUAAAAAAAUAAAAUUGAUCAUGAUAAAAAACAAAACAAAAACGGGUCCCCUCGGGAAUGUGGAGGUUUAAAAGUAAGGGACAGAAAGUGGCAAAUAAUUAUGUACUCCUAGUCUUCUGUACCUGGUCUCAAGGCUAGCCCAUGGAAGCCUCCUCUGUAUUAGAUACUAGGGGUUCAGACCAAGUUUAUCUACCAAGAGUUCAGAAUUUAGGGACAAGGGGACAAAUGAUAAACCAGGAAUGAUGAAAGAAUGUUCUUUCUCAGGAGAGAGCAACUGCCUCUCCCUUGGCUGAGAGGAGAGAGUCAAGACACAUUUCACACAGAGGGGUGACAGACUUGGAAGUGCUACUAUGUCCCCUUUAAGGAAACAUUUGCUGCCUCAAGAAAUACAGUUAGCUGACUGCCUCUAGCUGUUAGGUUGUCUAGGACCUAGAUUUUGAACCAAAUCCAUGCUCUUCUCAGUGUGGCUCCUAGCUAGUGACUGGAAGCUAGGACCACCCAGUUCCACCCAGCACAGAACUCUUCUGGUAGGAAACCUUAGGUGCAGAUUUCCCUAUCCAGUUGAUGGAGACAUGUGGUAGGUCUGCAUUAUAGUCUGACACUCCCUCUGCCCAGUCCUGUUUUCUCCUCUUUUCUUUCACCAAUGUUAUUCCCAAUUACACUCUUUGUACUCCUAACUCCAUCUCAGGGGCAGCUUCCUGAAGAAUCAAAACUGUUAAUAAGUGAUACCAGAGCUGAGCCUUCAAAGAUAGUGGAGGACCUUUGGGUUAGGAAAGGACAGGGAAGAACAGGGCCCAUUGUCUAGAAGCAUUUUAUUCUUAUGUCAGAACUAGAAUAUGAAAAUUCUACCCUGGCCUUCACUUUUUCCCUUCCUUACUCUGACUCCAUGUCUCCCACCUACCUCCAGGGCUAUAGGCCUUAACUUCUCUGUGUUACAUGUUCAUUGCAAUAAUCUCUACAGCCUAGGGUCUGAGAACACUGAGAUAAAAAGUAUGUCAGGAGGGCUGGGGAUAUAGCUCAGUUGAAUGCAUAAAGCCCUGAGUUCAAUCCCCAGCAUACCCCCCCACCUCGAAAAAAAAAAAAAAAAAAUCUCAGGAACCACCUAGUAUUUUAUACCAUUAACACACAAAUAUAUUCUCACUGCAAAUAGAUUAAAUAUGAAAGCUACCUUUUAAGAAAUAACAGAUUUACAUCUGCCUUUUAAAAAGUGUAUAUUUCAAUAAUUUUUAGUAUAGAGACACAUGACCAUUACCACUAAUUUUAGAACAAUUUCAUAACCCCAAAAUUAAACUCUAUGCUCAUUAGCAAUUAUUCCCCCUUCCCAUAAUCCUUGGCAACCAUUAAUCUACUUCCUCUUUUUUGCCUUUUCUGAACAUGUCAUAAAAUUGAAUAAUAUAAUAUAUUGCCCUCUGUGACCACAUAUAUUUUCGAGGUUCACUCUUGUAAUGGCAUGUACCAGGACUUCACUUUCCUUUUUAUUGCCAAAUAAUAUACCAUAUUUGGUUGAUUCAUUAAUCAGCUGAUGGACUGCUUAUAUCUGUUUCUUGGCUAUAAUGCAUAGUACUGCUAUGAAUACUGGUAUGUAAGUUUUUGUGUGGAGCUGUGUUAUCACCUCUCUGAGGAAGACACCUAGGAGUGAAACUACUAAAUCAAUAUGGCAACUCUACGAGAAACUGCCAAACUCUUUAAAAUCUGGCUACACCUUUUUAUAUUUUCAUCAGCAUUGUAUAAGGAUUCUAACUUCUUCACAUCUUUGUCAACACUCAUUACCAGUUGUCUUUUUAAUUUAGCCAUCCCAGCGGGUGUGAAAUAGUAUCUCAUUGUGAUUUGAUUUGCAAUUUCCCAAUUACUAAUGAUGUGCUUAUUAGACACUGGCAUAUGUUCUUUGGAGAAAUAUUUAUUCCAAUCUUUUAUCCAUUUUAGAAAUUGAGGUAUUUGUCCUUAUCACUGAGGUUUAAGUUCCUUAUCAAAUAUGUGAUUUUAAAAAAAUUCUCCCAUUCUGUGCUUUGUUUUUACUUUAAUAUUGUCCUUUGAAUCCUAAGUUUCAAUUGGAUGAAAUCCCAUUUCCCUGUUUUUUUUUUUUUCUUUUCUUGCUUGUAUUUACAUCUAAGAUACCACUGCCUAGUCCAAGAUCAUGAAGAUUUACUCCUAAGUUUUCUUCUAGUUCUAGUUAUAAUUCUUACGUUUAACUCUACAGUCCAUUUUUGUAUAUGGUAUUUGGAACUUUGUUCUUUCAUGUGUGCAUUUCCAGUUUCCCCAGCACCAUUUGAAAAACAGAUUGCAUUUUGGAUGGUUUGAGAACCCUGGCUGAAAACCAGUUUACCACAAAAAAUAAACAUUUAUUUCUAUACUAUAUACGUAUACCUUUAUGCUAGUAUCACAGGAUAUGGAUUACUAUAGCUAUAUAAUCAAUUUUGAAAUCAAGAUAUGUGAAUUCUUGAUCUCUGUUCUUUUUCAAGAUUGUUUUGGGGGAGGGGUGCUUUGCAUUUCCUAUGAAUUUUAGGAUGAGUUGUUUUUUUUUUUUGCCCCAAAAGUACUAGGAUUUUUGAAAAAUAUUUAUUAAUUUUGGUUAGUGUUGUGAUAUUAACAAUAUCAGAUAAGUAAAAAAACUUUUUAAAUUGUCUUUUAUAAUUCCCUAGUUACUUUUAUUAAUAUUCUUUAUCUUCAUGCAAAUUUUAAUUUACAUCUAGCAUUCUGUUGUUUUAGUUGAAGGAUUUCCUUCACUAUGGCAGAUUUGCUAAUAAUGAAUACUCUAAGCUUUUAUUUAUCUGUGACUAUCCUAAUUUGUCUGUUUUCAAUGCUGGGGAUUGAACCCAGGGGCACUCUACCACUGAGCUGUAUCCCCAACAUUCUUUAUGUUUCAUUUUAAGACAGGGUCUCACUAAGAUGUCCAGGCUGGCCUUGAACUUGCAAUCCUCCUACCUUACUUUCCUGAGUUGCUGGAAUUAUACAUGUGUGUGUCACCACACUUGGCAAGAGAGGUACAUCUUUAGGCAGUUGCUUAUUUCUAAAAGAGCCUCUGAAUAUGUAACUUUGCACAGCAAGAGUCUUUGCAGGUCUGAUUCAGGACCUUGAGAUGGAGAGAAAAUCUUGGGUUAUCAUGAUUGUCAGUUUAAUCCAUGAAUCCAUAAAAAGGGAGAAUAAGGACAGAAGAAUAACUCAAAGAGAUGUACUGAAGAAGAAACAGGAGACAGCUCAACCAUGAAAAGAAUCGGACUUGGCAUUACUGGCUUUGUAGAUGGAGAAAAAGGGCCACAAACCAAGAAACGUGGCAUCCUCUGGAAGCUGGAGAUGGUCCUCAGUUGACAGUCAGCAAGGAAAUGGGUUGCAUACUUAGAAGAAAUUGAAUUCUGCCAACACUGCAAAUAAACCAGAGAACAGAUUCUCCUCUAGAGCCUUCUGAUACCUGGGUUUUAGCCUGGUGAGACCUUUGUCAGAAUCUGACCUACAUCUCUAUUAAACAGUGAAUCUAUAUUACCAAACUACCUAAAUUUGUGUUAAUUUUUGUCAGCAAGAGAAAACUGUACAGAUUUUCAGCUUGUUAUGUUGUAUGCAGUACUUUCAUAAUAAAACACCCUUCCUCUGUAUUUUUAAUUACA